ACUAUAUGUUUCUAAUUGAAUCAUUCAUGCAACUAUACUAAUUGCCUACAACAUUGUUAUCCUUGAUUCUUACUUUCAAGUUCCCCAAUUUGCUGCAGAGCAUUAGCCUAAGACUUGCGGGGAAAUAUUAAAAUAACAUCUUAAAGUUAAUGUGACCAUAUUUAAAGAUAUUUCAAAGAUAAAUUUACUAUAAAACAAAAAUUACAAAUCAUGAAUGCUUCAAGGCAAUUAUCUCAAAAUUCUUUAAGCUAAGUGACACAUCUUAAUAUUUCCCAUGCUAAUGCUACAGUGAUAUUUGGCAGUACAAAUCAAGCAAAAUAAAAAAUGAUACAAAGUUCGAUUAAUAUGUUCACACAACAGUCAAAGAGUUGGAACCACAAUUGAGCAAACCCUCCAUCGCAAUUUUCUGACCAAGCAUAGUAAAGAGU
rnacentral:lncRNA from 1 species